GAUGGAAGAACGCAGCGAAAUGCGAUAAGUAAUGUGAAUUGCAGAAUUCAGUGAAUCAUCGAAUCUUUGAACGCACCUUGCACCCUUUGGACUGCUCCAAAGGGUAUGCUCGUUUGAGUGUCAUUGUACUCUCACACUCUCUGAUCCUUUGGAUUUGGGGAGCAGUGGACUUGGGUGCUUGCUGCUUCCUUGUGGCUCACCUGAAAUGCAUCAGUGCAUCUCUCGAUUGGACAUAGUACGGCGUGAUAAGUGUCUUCGCCGGCACCUCAUAUGAGGGUGGCCGAUCGGGAGCUCUGUGCUUUCAAACCGUCUUCGGACAACGCUGACAACUUGACCUCAAAUCGAGUAGGACUACCCGCUGAACUUAAGCAUAUCAAUAAGCGGAGGA
rnacentral:misc_RNA from 1 species